rnacentral:rRNA from 1 species
UACGUAGGGCGCAAGCGUUGUCCGGAAUUAUUGGGCGUAAAGGGCGCGUAGGCGGUGCGGUAAGUCUGCGGUGAAAUCUCCCGGCUCAACUGGGAGGCUGCCGUGGAAACUGCCGUGCUUGAGUGUGGGAGAGGUGAGUGGAAUUCCCGGUGUAGCGGUGAAAUGCGUAGAUAUCGGGGGGAACACCUGCGGCGAAGGCGGGUUGCUGGGCUGACACUGACGCUGAAGCGCGAAAGCGUGGGGAGCAAACAGG